GUGAAAAUCACGUAUGAUUGAAUGAUGAAGACUAAGAAAAAAUUUUCUUCUUAAAAUAAAGAAUUUUUCAUCCCAGUUUUUUAAAGGAAAACACUCCAGCUUGACGAUGAACAACCGUUUGAGUCUGAUCUAUAUUUGUUGUUACUUUCUAAUUGGCAUUGUUAUGUGCGGACCUCUUGGUUCUA